rnacentral:rRNA from 1 species
GAUGAACGCUGGCGGCGUGCCUAAUACAUGCAAGUCGAGCGAACAGACGAGGAGCUUGCUCCUCUGACGUUAGCGGCGGACGGGUGAGUAACACGUGGAUAACCUACCUAUAAGACUGGGAUAACUUCGGGAAACCGGAGCUAAUACCGGAUAAUAUAUUGAACCGCAUGGUUCAAUAGUGAAAGACGGUUUUGCUGUCACUUAUAGAUGGAUCCGCGCCGCAUUAGCUAGUUGGUAAGGUAACGGCUUAACAAGGCAACGAUGCGUAGCCGACCUGAGAGGGUGAUCGGCCACACUGGAACUGAGACAAGGUCCAGACUCCUAAGGGAGGCAGCAGUAGGGAAUCUUCCGCAAUGGGCGAAAGCCUGCCGGAGCAACGCCGCGUGAGUGAUGAAGGUCUUCGGAUCGUAAAACUCUGUUAUUAGGGAAGAACAAAUGUGUAAGUAACUAUGCACGUCUUGACGGUACCUAAUCAGAAAGCCACGGCUAACUACGUG